GGGCGGUUAGCUCAGCUGGUAGAGCAUCUGCUUGACGUGCAGAGGGUCGGGGAUUCGAGUUCCUCACCGCCCACCA
rnacentral:tRNA from 1 species